rnacentral:rRNA from 1 species
UUUAUAGCUCCAGGAUGAACUUUAGAGGGUGGGUUCAUGUCACAGGCACAAACGCUGGCGCGUGUGCUUCAACACGUUUGAGGAGCGCGCUCAGAGAGGAGCUUGCUCAUCUCAGAUGAGUGGCGAACGGGUGAGUAACGCGUGGACAACCUCCCUUGAGGCGGGGGAUAACUUUUGGAACCGAUAGCUAAUACCGAAUACCAAUGAAUGCCACAUGUCAUUAAUUUAAAAGGGGCUAUGGCUUCACUUCGAGAUGGACCCGCGGUGCAUUAGCUAGUUGGUGAGGUAAUGGCUCACCAAGGCGAUGAUGCAUAGCCGACUUGAGAGGGUGAUCGGCCACAAUGGGACUGAGACACGGCCCAAACUCCUACGGGAGGCAGCAGUAGGGAAUCUUCCACAAUGGGCGCAAGCCUGAUGGAGCAACGCCGCGUGAGUGAAGAAGGUUUUCGGAUCGUAAAGCUCUGUUGUAAGUGAAGAACGGCUGUGAGAGUGAAUGUUUCACGCUUGACGGUUUCCUACCAGAAAGGGACGGCUAAAUACGUGCCCGCCACCGCGGUAAUACGUAAGUUCCCAGCGUUAUCCGGAUUUAUUGGGCGUAAAGCGAAGGCAGGCGGUUAUGUAAGUUUGAAAGAAAGCCCUCAGGUUCACCCAGAAAUCGCUUGGAAACUGGCAAACUGAGGCCAU